GUUAAACCUGCCGCUUGGGGAGUACGGUCGCAAGGCUGAAACUUAAAGGAAUUGGCGGGGGAGCACCACAAGGGGUGGAGCCUGCGGUUCAAUUGGAUUCAACGCCGGAAAACUCACCGGGGACGACGGUUAAAUGAAGGCCAGGUUGAUGACUUUGCCUGAUUUUCUGAGAGGAGGUGCAUGGCCGUCGUCAGUUCGUACCGUAAAGCGUUCUGUUAAGUCAGAUAACGAACGAGACCCUCGCCGCCAGUUGCCAAC
rnacentral:rRNA from 1 species